rnacentral:lncRNA from 1 species
AGCCCACAUUUCAAAAAAUAAAAGAAGAAAGCAAUGCAGUUUGGAGAUGAGUCAGGCUUCUUGAAGAGUACCAGAAGAGUAAAUCCAUGAGCAAGUCCUAUCAAACUGAGAAGGCUUUGAGCACAGGCCCAGAGGAGGGUCACCAGCUUAGAACUGAUUAUGAUGAGAUGAAUAUUCCCUCCACUGGAAAACUAUGCUGAGGAUUGCUUGGGACCAAACAGCUGAUCUAGGAGGUACAUGAUCCUGAAAGGAGGUCUCUGUAUAAAUAUACAAAGGAAAACUUCUGUUGGC